GCCGGAAUAGCUCCAAUCGGUAGAGCAAGUCAUUCGUAAUGACGAGGUUCGCGGUUCAAUUCCGCGUUCCGGCACCA
rnacentral:tRNA from 1 species